rnacentral:rRNA from 1 species
CCUACGGGUGGCAGCAGUGGGGAAUAUUGCACAAUGGAGGAAACCCUGAUGCAGCGACGCCGCGUGAGUGAAGAAGUAUUUCGGUAUGUAAAGCUCUAUCAGCAGGGAAGAAAAUGACGGUACCUGACUAAGAAGCCCCGGCUAACUACGUGCCAGCAGCCGCGGGAAUACGUAGGGGGCAAGCGGUAUCCGGAUUUACUGGGUGGAAAGGGGGCGUAGACCGCAGGGCAAGUCUGAAGUGAAAUCCCAUGGCUUAACCAUGGAACUGCUUUGGAAACUGUGCAGCUUGAGUGCAGGAGAGGAAAGCGGAAUUCCUAGUGUAGCGGUGAAAUGCGUAGAUAUUAGGAGGAACACCAGUGGCGAAGGCGACUUACUGGACUGUAACUGACGUUGAGGCUCGAAAGCGUGGGGAGCAAACAGGAUUAGAUACCCGGGUAGUC